CCUUCUCUUUUCCCCUCCCCUUCCAACUCUCUCGGCUUCCCAGCAAAACUCCCACCCAAUUUUUUUCAUUUCUCAUCCUAAUUUCUCUUCCCCCCUCACCUUUCUUUGUUUCUUUUUCCCUUCAUCUUCCUCUUCAAUAAUCUUUUCUUUCAUUUGCUAGUCUCCGCCCACUAUUUUCGUCCCAAUAUGCCGCAACCACCGGUGUCGGAAGAAAGCUUGAGCUUUAUCGUUGUUCUAUCAUCGAAUUCAUCUUUGUCAAAAUAGCAGCAAAAAAAAAAAAGGAAGGCAAAUUUGCAAUGAUAUUGGGCGACCUCCACUUUUAAAAUCAUGGAUUUCUGUUAUUUUUUUUCUGAAAUUCCAAUUUUUUUCUUGUUUUGGUUAUGGUCUAAUCAUGACCAUAGUAAUGUUGUAAAUUUGAUUUAGAAAUAAGAGAGAGAAAGAAUAAUGAAGAAAAAGAGAAAGGAGAAGAAAGAAGGUUAAGGAAAGGAAGGGAGGAGGGUGAAUGAAGAAGAAUGAGGACGGUUGGGUACAGAUUAAUACUGGAUUCGGUACAUUGGUAUGCUUCUGAUCAUGAUAUUUGAGAAAAGACAUGCUUAUCUUUAACUUCGAUUGUGCACCAACUAAACAAGUCAUGUAAAACGUUGGAGCUGAGAUCGAUGUCGCAGAGUCCGAGCAAAUUGCAGUCAUUAACUGUCAUUUGUUCACGGUAACCUAGAAUCUUGUAAACAGAUGAUGUAUUUCUUCAUAUCAAUAUUGUAUUCAUAUUCUUAGA